CGGUAAUUCCAGCUCCAAUAGCGUAUAUUAAAGUUGUUGCGGUAAAAAAGCUCGUAGUUGGAUUUCUGUUGAGGACGAGAGGUCCGUACCAUGUACGCGCAUCUUCUUCGGCCUCGGCAUCCUCUCGAUAAACGUUUCUGCGCUUGAUUGCGUGGAGCGGUUUUCGGGACUUUUACUUUGAGGAAAUUAGAGUGUUCACGGCAGGCUAUCGCCAGAAUACAUUAGCAUGGAAUAAUACUAUAGGAUCUCGGUUCUAUUUUGUUGGUUUCUAGACCCGGGGUAAUGAUUAAUAGGGACAAUUGGGGGCAUUUGUAUCAACACGUCAGAGGUGGAAUUCUUGGAUUGUGUUGCGACAAACUACUGCGAAAGCAUUUGCCAAGGAUGUUUUCAUUGAUCAAGAACGAAAGUAAGGGGAUCGAAGACGAUUAGAUACCGUCGUAGUCUUUACCAUAAACUAUGCCGACUAGAGAUGGGGCAUCGUUCACUUACGACUUGCUCCGCAUCUUAUGAGAUAUCAAAGUCUUUGGGUUCCGGGGGGAGUAUGGUCGCAAGUCUGAAACUUAAAGGAAUUGACGGAAGGGCACCACCAGGAGUGGAGCCUGCGGCUUAAUUUGACUCAACACGGGGAAACUCACCAGGUCCAGACAUAAUAAGGAUUGACAGAUUGAUAGCUCUUUCUUGAUUUUAUGGGUGGUGGUGCAUGGCCGUUCUUAGUUCGUGGAGUGAUUUGUCUGCUUAAUUGCGUUAACGAACGAGACCUUAACCUGCUAAAUAGGAGCGCAUAUCUUCGGAUAAGCGCCUUUCUUCUUAGAGGGACUGCAUGCGUUUCAGUAUGCGGAAGUUUGAGGCUAAAACAGGUCUGUGAUGCCCUUAGAUGUUCUGGGCUGCACGCGCGCUACACUGAUGCGUUCAACGAGUGUACAACCUUGCCCGAUAGGGUUGGGUAACCUUUUGAACACGCAUCGUGGUGGGGAUUGAGUAUUGCAAUUAUUACUCAUCAACGAGGAAUUCCUAGUAAUGAUGAAUCAUCAGUUCAUCGUGAUUACGUCCCUGCCCUUUGUACACACCGCCCGUCGCUCCUACCGAUUGAGCAAUCCCGUGAGUAUUUCGGACCUAGACGCGUCGGGGAAACUCGUUCGUGUUUGGGAAAGCCAAGCUAACCUUAUUGCUUAGAGGAAGGAGAAGUCGUAACAAGGUAGCCG
rnacentral:rRNA from 1 species